UGCAGAACGUGACAUUUACAGGACUCAUCUUUCUGAUGCUUUGGCGAGUCUCAAGGGGGCUAAACAGUCACAAAGAGAAGACAGAGAUAAUGAAGAGGUGAGGGGAUCUCAGAUGAGCAACAACAGUGAAGAUGACAGUGAAGAUGACUGUGAGGAAGACUGUGAGUCCAGCUCUGAUUCCUCAGAGAAAGAAGGGAAAAUGGAAAAUGGAAAAGAAAGAAGAGUG